rnacentral:rRNA from 1 species
UGGGAACGUGCCCAAAGGUACGGAACAACUCCGGGAAACUGGAGCUAAUACCGUAUGUGCCCGAAAGGGAAAGAUUCAUCGCCUUUGGAUCGGCCCGCGUCUGAUUAGCUAGUUGGCGGGGUAAUGGCCCACCAAGGCGACGAUCAGUAGCUGGUCUGAGAGGAUGACCAGCCACACUGGGACUGAGACACGGCCCAGACUCCUACGGGAGGCAG